rnacentral:rRNA from 1 species
CCUACGGGUGGCAGCAGUGAGGAAUAUUGGUCAAUGGGAGGAAUCCUGAACCAGCCAUGCCGCGUGCAGGACGACGGCUCUACGAGUUGUAAACUGCUUUUGUACCGGGGUAAAAUGCUCUACGAGUAGGGUUUUGAAAGUACGGUACGAAUAAGGAUCGGCUAACUCCGUGCCAGCAGCCGCGGUAAUACGGAGGAUCCGAGCGUUAUCCGGAUUCAUUGGGUUUAAAGGGAGCGUAGGUGGAUUGUUAAGUCAGUUGUGAAAGUUUGCGGCUCAACCGUAAAAUUGCAGUUGAAACUGGCAGUCUUGAGUACAGUAGAGGUGGGCGGAAUUCGUGGUGUAGCGGUGAAAUGCUUAGAUAUCACGAAGAACUCCGAUUGCGAAGGCAGCUCACUGGACUGCAACUGACACUGAGGCUCGAAAGUGUGGGUAUCAAACAGGAUUAGAUACCCUUGUAGUC